rnacentral:rRNA from 1 species
GACGAACGCUGGCGGCGUGCUUAACACAUGCAAGUCGAACGGAAAGGCCCUGCUCUUGUGGGGUGCUCGAGUGGCGAACGGGUGAGUAACACGUGAGUAACCUGCCCUUGUCUUUGGGAUAACUUCAGGAAACUGGGGCUAAUAUCGGAUAGGAGCUCCUGCUGCAUGGUGGGGGUUGGAAAGUUUCGGCGGUUGGGGAUGGACUCGCGGCUUAUCAGCUUGUUGGUGGGGUAGUGGCUUACCCAGGCUUUGACGGGUAGGCGGCCUGGGAGUGUGACCGGCCACAAUGGGACUGAGGGACGGCCCAGUCGCCAACGGGAGGCAACAGGGGGGAAUAUGGCACAGUAAGCGGGAGCGUGAGGCGGCAGCGCCGCGUGCGUAAAGACGUCCUUUGGGUUGUGAACAGCUGUCGCCUGAGACGAAGCGGGAGUGACGGUAAUGAGUAAAGAAGCACCGGCUAACUACGUG